AUUGAACGCUGGCGGCAUGCCUUACACAUGCAAGUCGAACGGCAGCAUGAUCUAGCUUGCUAGAUUGAUGGCGAGUGGCGAACGGGUGAGUAAUACAUCGGAACGUGCCCUGUAGUGGGGGAUAACUAGUCGAAAGAUUAGCUAAUACCGCAUACGACCUGAGGGUGAAAGUGGGGGACCGCAAGGCCUCAUGCUAUAGGAGCGGCCGAUGUCUUAUUAGCUAGUUGGAGAGGUAAAGGCUCACCAAGGCGACGAUCAGUAGCUGGUCUGAGAGGACGAUCAGCCACACUGGGACUGAGACACGGCCCAGACUCCUACGGGAGGCAGCAGUGGGGAAUUUUGGACAAUGGGCGAAAGCCUGAUCCAGCAAUGCCGCGUGUGUGAAGAAGGCCUUCGGGUUGUAAAGCACUUUUGUCCGGAAAGAAAUGGCUCUGGUUAAUACCUGGGGUCGAUGACGGUACCGGAAGAAUAAGGACCGGCUAACUACGUG
rnacentral:rRNA from 1 species